UUUUUUUUUUGUAUGUAAAAAAGUUAUACCACGCACGGCCUCCGAAGAAUUUUUUUCAUGAAACACGCAUUGAGGUAUAUUACAAAUAAUUAAUAAGGUAUACUGAGAAUUAUAAAGAGGUAUAAUAUGCUUGUUUAAGAGGUAUAUUUGAAUGUGGGAGUACAUACUACUAGGUUAAGGAAUUACGACCUACCCGCACAAUCAUNNNNNNNNNNNNNNNNNNNNNNNNNNNNNNNNNNNNNNNNNNNNNNNNNNNNNNNNNNNNNNNNNNNNNNNNNNNNNNNNNNNNNNNNNNNNNNNNNNNNNNNNNNNNNNNNNNNNNNNNNNNNNNNNNNNNNNNNNNNNNNNNNNNNNNNNNNNNNNNNNNNNNNNNNNNNNNNNNNNNNNNNNNNNNNNNNNNNNNNNNNNNNNNNNNNNNNNNNNNNNNNNNNNNNNNNNNNNNNNUAACGUGCCCCCCCCCCCCUUUGUUUCACUGGAAAAUCGCGUCCUUUUACCAUUGGGAGUUUCUCCAUUCAUUAGUGGUAACUACCUAGAUAUUUUUUUACUACAAUUAGCAAAGCUUUUUCCAUAUAAGGUGGCAAGAGGUUGGUUGGUCGUGCGCAUGGUGUCUAACUAGAGCAUAGAAUUAGCGCUUUUGCGCUCAGGCUUUAUAACCUAAGUUAGCACUAAACUACCGCAUUUGUAAGGCAAGACAGUCAGUUGGAUAUAUUGUUGUUAUCUUCUACUACCUUAAGAUAAAUUGUAUACUCUAACGCAAGACAGUCAGUUGGAUAUAUUGUUGUUAUCUUCUACUACCUUAAGAUAGAUAGCAUAAUGAAAAUAAUUCACAGAUAUAGCGACAUAGAUCACAAGUUCACAACCAACAUUUUUUCUGUAGAAAGAUGUAAUACCUUUGAAGAUGAAGAAUGGGCACAUGCAGGCCUUCUUCAGAAACAGUAGCAUGCACUAAUUUGAACCAGACGUGGUCACGCAAGGGGUAGAAGUGUUGCUAGUACUUGCAGUAGUAUUAGAGUUACUUUCGGUAACCCUCUCAUUGCUUGGUUCUGUAGUGAGACAAACUUCAGAAGUAGAUGUUGUUGGGCUAUAGCUUGGUCUACCACUUCCUCUAGUUUCCAAACGCUCCAUCAUCCUCGAUACAGAUGCAAUUCCAUUAUUAACUUCGCGUCUCACUUCAGAACCAAGAUCAGACACAGAUGAGUUACGUGAAAAAAGCCUCUCCUUCCACCCUCGAGUACUUUUUGUAAUAGAUUCUUUGUACCUGAAUUGCAUAAAAGGUUAAGCAGCUUUAAGAAAAAUAUUUAUUAAAUUAUAAGGAAUACGUCCAAAUAAAUUUACGUACUUCAAGGAGACAGCAUUUAGGCGUGACUUUAGAGAAUCUGAGAAAGACUGAACAUCUGAUGGCCCAGCCCUGUCAUUACCUACUGGAGUUGAUUGUCCAGAGGAAUGUCUCCUGAUAACAGCAGAAUCAUCACAUAAUUUGAUCACCAAAAAUAUUAGCAUGACUAUAGGCUGUAUAGCUCAGUUUACCUGUUGAAAAACCUAGGACUGGAUACGGGGGUACUAUUUCCAGAUGAAACAACAGCAUCUUGUUCAGCAUCGUAGGUAAGGACCCCCGGACUUUGGUUGCCUGCUUCUUCAAUGGGAUUAGCAUGUGGUGGUAAGUCACCAACUCUGGGAACAAGAAUCCUCAGGUCAUCAGCACCUUCCCCCUGAGUGGAAGAUGAUGAAACAGAGCCAGCAGGAGUAUUUGGAUGUGCAGAGAAAACCAAGAACUGUGGGCGGCCAUGAGAGCCAGAACGGUUCCUCUGCCCCUCUCUUCUACCAUGUUGGUGUGACCUUCCCAUUGCUGCAGCAGCAGCUAGGUGUUGCAGUAUACGCUCUUCAAGUUCAGCAUCAUUACCAACAACAGGUAACUGCACACGAUCACCAUUUGAAUUAGGAUAACAUAAGAAAAAGCACUUCACUGGUGAAAGCAGAAGAAAUAUGUCACAACAAAUUAGUUCCAGAAUACAUACAUGCUGCACUUCGAAAUCACCAAGAGCAGGAUGAUGAAAUAUAGUCGUAUUUUGAGUUUGAUUGGUUCUUAUAUUCCUCUCCCACUGUACUGCCUCAAGAAGCUCUUGACUGAGAUAUUAGUACAGCCAUAGUUAGAAAAAUUCUACUCCCUCCGUCCCAUAUUAAUUGACGCUCAAAUGGAUGUAUCUAGCACUACGUUUGAGCAUCAAUUAAUAUGGGACGGUGGGAGUACGUGUUGAACAACAUGUUUGGCAUUUGAAUAUCCAAUGAAUAUCAAUAUAUAUUUCCAGCACUUGCCUGGUAGGAUCCUUCAUACUGACAGGCUGCCAGCACAUAGGGCACUGAGAACUUCUUUGACACCUACAAAAAUACUACCGAUCAUUAAUAUAUAAUGCACAAAUAUUUGAACAGGGAAAAAACAGUCCAAGCAAUGGCCAUGUCAAAGCAGUUCUAUACACGCUCAAUUAAACUGUAGAACAUCCCAAGGGGACUUUCCAAGUGAAAUAGUUUUCCAGUAAAUUCCCCAGUAGAUUCCAGUGAAGUACCACCUCUGUAACUUAAUAUAAGACAUUUUUUUGACACUGUCGGAGGGAGUAAAAAAUUUCACUAGCUAUAGUAUCAAAUUAUAUUUGGCAUAUUGCAAGAUCAGCAGAAGUGUUGCAAACCGUGUAGGCAUGUACACCUCGUACUUAUGAUACAUACAGAAUAUGUGAAAGGUAAGUUACAGUUGUGUAAUCAUCCAUUAAUCAAAAUAAGCAGUUAUGGAGUUAUAGUAUGCAUGUAGUUAUGAUGUUCCUUUUCGACCGCAAAAAAGUUAAGUACGGUAUAAAAAUUAGCCACAUGAAAAGAAUAUCAGUAGAUUGGUAGUCAAAAAAUACUUCAACAAUGUAUCUUUAAGAUUGUUAGCAUACAACUUCCAAAAUCGAUGAUAAAAAUAUAUGUCCUUGAAAACAGUGAAGACAUGUACAGGCGGACAUCUCACUAAUUCGAUGAAGUACUAUUGCCAAUACACAAGCAAAUCAUAUAGGAUUUGCACCCAGGAAAACUGUACUGGAACAAGCCAUCAGCAGAAUGCUACUAAGUAAAAAACAUGAUUUUAGGGGCAGGAAAAGAACAAUUAAUCAGACUCAAGCUGGCCAAUCCAGCAACUGCAAACCGAACAACUGACCUAAAGCGUACCAGAAGAAAACAAUAACAGUCUAUCUAGCUCAUCUAGCAUGCAUGUCAAAAAAAUAGUAACCUACUAGGUCAAUUUAGAGAUAUAUGUAUGGUUCACAUAAAACAUUUUUUACGAAGGGAAGAGUAAAGUCUAUUUUAAUUCUGAACUUGAAUCUAACAGAAGACGAGCAGAUUUCAUAGUUCUAUUAACCAUUAGAUUCAGGAGCCAUAUGAGUUCCAGAUGGAAAUAGGUACAGAGCUGCAACAAAGCCUUUAGUCCCAAACAAGUUGGGGUAGGCUAGAGCCUAGAGGUGAAACCCGUAAGAUCUCGCAACCAACUCAUGGCUCUGGCACAUGGACAGCAAGCUUCCACGCACCCCUGUCCAUAGCUAGCUCUUUGGUGAUACUCCAAUCCUUCAGGUCUCUCUUAACGGACUCCUCCCAAGUCAAAUUCGGUCUACCCCGCCCUCUCUUGACAUUCUCCGCACGCUUUAGCCGUCCGCUAUGCACUGGAGCUUCUGGAGGCCUGCUCUGAAUAUGCCCAAACCAUCUCAGACGAUGUUGGACAAGCUUCUCUUCAAUUGGUGCUACCCCAACUCUAUCUCGUAUAUCAUCAUUCCGGACUCGAUCCUUCCUCGUGUGGCCACACAUCCAUCUCAACAUAUGCAUCUCCGCCACACCUAACUGUUGACAUGUCGCCUUUUACUCGGCCAACACUCAGCGCCAUACAACAUUGCGGGUCGAAUGCCGUCCUGUAGAACUUGCCUUUUAGCUUUUGUGGCACUCUCUUGUCACAGAGAAUGUCAGAAGCUUGGCGCCACUUCAUCCAUCCGGCUUUGAUUCGAUGGUUCACAUCUUCAUCGAUACCCCCAUCCUCCAGCAGCAUUGACCCCAAAAUACCGAAAGGUGUCCUUCUGAGGUACCACUAAGCCAUCAAGGCUAACCUCCUCCUCCUAACACCUAGUAGUAUUGAAACCGCACAUCAUGUACUCGGUUUUAGUUCUACUACCCUUACGAUUCCAAGGUUUGUCUCCAUAACUCCGCGUCGGUGUCCCCGGCUCUCCUGCCGGUGUCCCUGACGCUCCCGCCCCUUCCACCCUGCGCGGGACCCGUGGUCGUGGCGGACCCGGCUCCGGCCCUGGCCACGUCUGUGGCCUCCUCUCCCCACCCUACCGUGGACCCCGGCUGGGAGGUGUCCCCCCCCCAGCCGGCCGCUCCUCCGCCACCUACGGCCCCUGCUUCGGUCUCGCCUCUCCGCCCUCUGCACCACCCGCUCCGCUGCUCCUGGGAUGCUCCGCUCUGGAGCCACAACCUACCUCCCUGUUGGCCCUGGAUGCGGGCGGGGAGUCGCGGGUGACCACUCCGGUGGCUGCUCCCCCUCCCCCUCCGCGGUCCGCGGCCUACUCUCGGCGUGGCCGGUCAACCUCCUCCCCGGUGACGGCCUCCCGCCGUAGCGCUCGGCUCGACGCUGCCCGGCCGGAUGGUAGCCCCGCUCUGCCCAUUCCCGAGCGGGCGGAGCUUCGGGCCGCUGCCCGAAAUCUGGAGCCAGGUACCCCUGCCUUCCCCUCCUCUGCUGCUACUUGCUCCUUUUCUGCGCUCGAGUCGGUUCCGCUUGGUCACCUGGCGAAGGUUGCGACGGAUUCCGCGAUCAUCUUCAUGGGGGAGGCUGCUCCCCCCUUUAGUCCAGAUCGAGGCCAUUCGGGCCCGCGAGAUUCCUGACGGUAGACUAGCAGAAGCCCGCGUGGCUAUGCUCACGCCUACCGCGCCCCCGCCCCCUGCGGAGGACGCCACCCCGUCACAGCCUCGGCGUGCCGGUGGCCUUCUUCCGCUUGUUGCGGCCGAUCUCCGUGGUCGCACGCGCUCUCGUACCGCCGCUCUCCGCGCCCAAAGCGCGUCUCGUGUCCUGGGGUCAAGCAGCCCCCCAAUGGCUCCUUAAUGCGUGCCCUCUUCUGGAACAUCCGCGGCUUCGGCCAUGAUGGCCGUCGCCGCCAACUCAUCGAGUACAUGUGUGAUGAACACAUUGACAUUGUCGCCAUCCAAGAAACCAUGCGCACGGAAUUCUCUCUUCCGGAGCUCGACCGUCUGAGCUCCCACCUCUUCGCUUGGCAUUGGCUCCCUCCUAGUGGGAGCACCGGCCAUUCGGGUGGCAUCCUUUUAGGUGUGAAGGAUGCCACCUUCGAGGUGGGUAGCAUGGACCGGGGCCAGUUCUUUGUUAGCAUCGAACUCUACGAACGGGCGCUUAACUUCAAGUGGGAGGUCAUCAUCGUCUACGGCCCGGCUGACCAUGGUAGGUCGGCCUCCUUCCUCGAGGAGCUCCACCGGAAGGUUUCGACGGCCUCUCUUCCAGUGGUGGUUGGAGGCGACUUUAACCUCCUCCGGUUUGCGAAAGACAAGAGCAAUAUGAAUGUCAACUUUGCGCGGAUGCAAAUGUUUAAUGACUGCAUUGCUGACCUCGGUCUCCGCGAGAUAGAUAGGAUUGGUGCCAGAUAUACCUGGACCAAUAGUCAGGCCUCCCCGACCCAGUCCGUCCUGGACAGGGUCCUAGUCUCCCCGAAAUGGGACCUCCGCUCCCCCCUAGCUUCCCUCCGGGCCAUCACCCGAAUUGGCUCCAACCAUGUGCCCCUCCUCCUGUCCUCUGCCGACGAGCGGCCGCCGAUCCCACNNNNNNNNNNNNNNNNNNNNNNNNNNNNNNNNNNNNNNNNNNNNNNNNNNNNNNNNNNNNNNNNNNNNNNNNNNNNNNNNNNNNNNNNNNNNNNNNNNNNNNNNNNNNNNNNNNNNNNNNNNNNNNNNNNNNNNNNNNNNNNNNNNNNNNNNNNNNNNNNNNNNNNNNNNNNNNNNNNNNNNUCUGGCUGUCCCAAACUGGUUUCGUGGAAGCGGUUGGCGCUCGUUGGGUGGAGGCUCGUGCUCACCCCCAUCCCCGCCCCCCUCGGCCAUCGACUCGUGGCAAUUUUGUGCCAAGCGUGGCCGGCAGUUCAUGAAGGGAUGGGGCGCCAACCUCGGGCCUGACCUCCGCAAACGCAAGAAGGCCCUGUUGACCGCCAUCCAGGCCCUGGACCUUCGCACCGAUGCGACCGGCCUUUCUCCUGACGAGUGGCUCUCCCGUUACGAUUUGGAAGACCAACUCUCUGUCAUCUACUCCGAUGAGGAGGCCUAUUGGCGCCUUCGUGGCGCCCAGAAAUGGGUAUUGAAGGGCGACGCGAACACAGCCUACUUUCAGGCCAUUGCGAAUGGCCGCCGUAGACGCAACACCAUCCCCCUCCUUUGGGAUGGCCCGACUCUCCUGCAGUCCCCUGUGACAUUCGGGCCCAUGUCGAUGGGUUCUAUAGGUCCCUGUUCUCCGCCGCUCCUCGGAGCGGCCUUUCUCUGGCCCGUGAUUGUUGGACCGGCCUCCAGCUGGUUUCCGAUGCAGAGAACGCGGCCCUUACAGCCCCCUUCUCCGACGGCGACGUCUGGGCUGCCAUUAGAGGCAUGAAUCCCACCUCGGCGCCGGGGCCUGAUGGCCUCCCGAUUAAAUUCUUUCAGACCUUCUAGAACGUGAUUAAACCUGAGAUCAUGGCCACCUUCGACGUGUUCUACGUUGGGUCCAUCGACCUCGAGCGCCUCAACUACGGGAUCAUUUCGCUCAUCCCCAAGGUGCCUGGAGCUUCCGACAUCUGACAGUUCCGCCCGAUCACGGUCAUCAAUGUGAUUUUCCGGAUCCUGGCGAAAGGGUACGCCAAUAGGGUGACCCUGCUUGCCGACCACAUUACCCACCCCAACCAGUCCGCCUUUAUUCAAGGGCGGUAUAUCCUGGAUGGGGUGCUAGUUCUUCACGAAGUCCUCCAUGAGGUGCGGUCUAAGCACCUCAAGGCGGUUUUCCUAAAGAUCGAUUUCCAUAAGGCGUACGACACUGUUAGUUGGCCCUUCCUUCGGGAAGUUCUGCUCCGGAAAGGCUUUGACGACCGAUGGAUCUCCACAGUGAUGCAGAUGGUCUCCUGCGGUCGCACUGCUGUGAACAUCAAUGAUGAGAUCGACCCGUACUUCCCCACCCUCUGUGGGGUUAGACAAGGCGACCCCUUCUCCCCAUUCUUGUUCAAUAUGGUGGUGGACGUGCUUGCAGCCAUCUUGGAUAAGGCUAAGGCUGCUGGCCAUAUCCAUGGGAUCACCCCCCACCUGGCCGGCAGCUCCGGGAUCUCCCUCCUCCAGUACGCCGACGACACCAUCAUCAUGGUCGAAGGCUCGGAUGCGGACAUCUCUAACCUUAAGUUACUCCUAGUCCCUGGACAUUACCAACUGGCUCAAUUGCCGCUUGGGCUCCUUCCCCACGACCUACUUGGGAACACCCAUUAGUGACUCUCGGCUUACCGUCGCUAACUUGCGCCCUACCGUGGCCAAGCUGCAAACGCACAUAGAGCCAUGGCAGGGUAAGUGGCUAUCAAAGGCAGCCCGAACGAUUCUCAUCAACUCCUCCCUCUCCAGCCUCCUCUUGUUCCUCAUGAGCUUCUACAGCCUUCACGAGACUACACCAUGAGAUCGCCAAAGUCCAGUCUCGCUUCUAUUGGGCAGGCGACAACAAUAAGCAGAAAUACCAUAUGGUCAGCUGGCCUGACAUUUGCAAGCCUCGGGAACAAGGUGGCCUCGGUAUCAUGUGCUCUAAGCGCAUGAAUAUCGCCCUCCUAUCCCGCUGGCUCUGGCGCAUCUCGCAAGGUCACGGUGACCUUUGGUUAGAUAUCAUCCGGAACAAGUACCUGCGUGGGUAACCCCUAGCCUUCUGUCAGCGCAUUGGCGGUUCCCAGUUCUGGCAGUCGGUCGUCCAACUUCUCCCGGUCCUCCGCAUUGGGACCUUCAUCUUGCUUGGAUCUGGGGGCUGCAACUUCGUUCUGGUAUGACCGGUGGGCCAGCGACACCCCAUUCGCAGCGCGCUUCCCCGACCUCUUCUCCAUCGAGCGACACCCCAUUCGCAGCGCGCUUCCCCGACCUCUUCUCCAUCGUUGUCGACCCUUUGAUCUCGGUAGAGAGGGCCCUUAUUGACUUAGGGCGCCUCGCAUUCCGAAGGCCAUUUGGGCCUCCGGAUUCCGCCGCUUGGCGUGAGUUGCUUGAUUGCGUCGCUCUCCAUGAGCCGGUUGUGGACGCUGGCCCGGAUCAGGUGAGGUGGCGCCUUGAGCCGUCAGGCCAAUUCUCCACCAAGUCCCUUUCCCAGGCCAUUGCCCCCCCAACCGCGCCUCCCCCCUGACGGCGGUGUGGUCCAUCCGCCUUCCACUGAAAAUCCGGAUCUUCAUGUGGCAAUGGAUUCGCGGACGGACCCCGUCUGGGGUCGAGGUCCGCAAACGCAAUGGCCCGAGCUCUGGCUUAUGCCCUCUAUGCGAUGUCCCCGAAGACUCGAAUCACAUCUUCUCUUGUAUGUCCGCUCAAUUUGUGUGGACCUGCUUUAGAGAGGUGGUGGGUGGGAAUUUAUGUCACACAAACUUCCCCAACCUAUUUGCCGAACUCCAGAACUCCCCCUUGCCCUCUCGCCACAUUAGGUGGCUUGAGAUUGGGGCUAUCGCUUCAACUCUCUGGACGAUCCACAACAAGCUUGUGAUCCAGCGACCCCUCUUCGACGGGCUACUGACGCUCUUUACAAACUGUCUGGUUACUUGCAGCUUUGGCGGUCGCUUAGCCGCCCACGGGACCGGGACACCAUCUCCGCCUUCAUCGCCGACCUUCGCUCGAUGGCCGUUCGUCUGUCGCCGGCGCCCCCUCCGCCUCCUCCGGAGCCAGACUAGACGCCUGUUGUGCGCUCCGGCGCCCUUUUUUCCUUUUUUGUUUGGACUUGUUGAGUUGUGCCCUCAGCAGAACCUUUUGUACUUCCUCUUGUGAGACUUGGGUGUGUGUGUGUGUGAACUAGUCCAUGUUUGUGUGCUCUCUGGUGGUUUCCUUUAUUUAUAAAGCGGGGCGAAAGCCUUUUUCGGUAAAUCUAACUUCCUAUUUACCCCGUCCGACUAUCGUCAACUAGCACCACAUCAUCCGCAAAGAGCAUACACCAUGGGAUAUCUCCUUGUAUAUCCCUUGUGACCUCAUCCAUCACCAAUGCAAAAAGAUAAGGGCUCAAAGCUGACCCCUGAUGCAGCCAUAUCUUAAUGGGGAAGUCAUCAGUGUUGACAUCACUUGUUCAAACACUUGUCACAACAUUAUCGUACAUGUCCUUGAUGAGGGUAAUGUACUUUGCUGGGACUUUGUGUUUCUCCAAGGCCCACCACAUGACAUUUCACGGUAUCUUAUCAUAGGCCUUCUCCAAGUCAAUGAACGCCAUAUGCAAGUCCUUCUUUUGCUCCCUAUAUCUCUCCAUAAGUUGCCGUACCAAGAAAUAGGUACAAAGCGCACAACAAAAAUAUAUAAGGUGGCUACAAGUCAUGAGCUGGAUAUUAGAGUCAGUAUCAUACCAUUCAAGGAUGCAUUGGAGAUGGAACUCAUGUUUGCAACCUGUCAACUGGAAAAGAAGAAAUCGUAACAAAACGGUUAGAAGCUGACCUCUAAGCAAACAAAAUAAGCGAAUUAAAGAAAUGACAUCUUACUGCGGAAGGAUCACUCUCACAGAAAGCCUCAAGACAAAUGCUACAUGCAUCAUCACAUGCAUCCUGGACCCCACCCUCUACAAAGGCUGCAGGUGAUGUCAAACUCUCCAUCUUGGCUUUCUCAUCAGUUCCAGAUGCCAUUGCAAAGGAAAAAGUAGCCCUGGUAUCCAGAAAAUGGAUGUAAAAAUAAAGGCACAAAGUUAACACUUCAAAAAAUCAUAGCACUGAUAACAUAGAGAUGAGAGUGAACAUGUUCACUCUGACAUAAGAAACCAGUUCAUAACUGAUUUAGCAACAACAGAAAAAAAAAAGUGGUGAUAUACAAACCGGAUCCAAAAGCAAAUGGUGCCAAUAUUUUUAAUGACAGUAUGUAAAGUAGAACACUACAUUAAAUGUUAUACCAGUCAAAAAACCAAUCUAAAUCCGCAUAACAACAUCCAAUUCACAGGCCACCGUGUUCCAUUCAAGUUAAACGGGCUAUAUUUAGUUACAUAAUAAGAAUUGAACAAGUUUUAGAUCAAACUAUGUUGUCCCUGGUUAUACUAGAAAGCCAAAUAGGCAAAGAAAGUAACAAUUUUAUGCUAGGAUUACCAGCUUACAGUAAAGCAUUCGAAACGAGCUGAACCAUCAAGCAUCCAACAAAAGAUGAAAGAAGUACAGAAAAGUAUGUUGUCCAUGUACUGAGACAUUGCAUAAAUAAUUCUGUUACAAAAUGCUAAAGAACCUCAUCUAAAAUUGGCACCAUUUUUUGGAAUGGUCUAACUCAUCCAAUUAGCAAAACAGAAGGACUGCAGAAGCCAAAUGAUUCCACAAAUUAUCACAUAUUAAAACAAUAUACAGCACGAGACAAACAAAUAUGAAGGAAGCGCACAUUGUAAGAAAGUCUACUAACAAACAAAACCUCAACAUGAAACUAGUAGUAAUUCCAAUGCCUCUGCUAAUGAUAACCAUUAGGUUACUAUGGUAAUUUUAUUGAUGAUGAUAAAAUUGAAAGAAAUGCAUUGGGAAACCACAGAGAUAAAAUGAUAUAUCGGGAAAUCAGACGGAUCUCUCAAAUAUGUUUGCACCAAACUAACAUACUUGUAGUCAAUUGCAUUAAUGUUCGCUGCUGAUAUGACAUACAGUUCAAAGCAUGCUAUGUUAGCAGUACUGAAGACAUUUUCGAGGAAGAGGGGCGCUAUUUAAUAAGUAGUCGCUCAAUCAGCUGCACUUGUCGCAAAUUUAUUUAUAGUCCUCACUGAGAUCAAACCAAAUGUAAAGCAACAACACCACCAACGAAAUUUGCAUCACAUUAAGCACUUAAUGAGCUCAAAGGUCCCGAAUCACCAUGCAAGCUACUCACAGCAGAAUACUAGGUUAAAAUAAAAAUUGCCAGACUGCCAAACAAAAUACGCUACAUAUCGUAGAGAGAAAGCGUCAAUUAUCCGCUAAUCGAACACCGAUUCACAGUUCGAACGAAAAACCCAACUAAAGUAAAAAACACCAGCUAGCUAGCACAUCGCCUGGAAUUUCCCCAUACCCAAACCCCGCGCUGAACACCGCAAAAGCAAAGCCUAGCAGCCGAGAUGUUUACCGACUGUUCACAACCCCGAAUCGCGGAUGGCUCGCCGUCCGAUCACGAUCGCGACGAACAAAAAAGGUGGGGGGCGCGGGCUAGCUCGGCGAGGGUCCUCCUGAUCUUACCGGGCAGGGCAGGGCGCCGACGAGACGCCUGAGGGGGGUCGACCCGAUUCGAUGCGUGGAUGAGCACGGAACCCUCUGUCUCCCUCUCGCUUUCUCUCUCGUCUCUGUGUGAGCGAGACAGUGGGGCAAAGUGGAGGAAAGGAGGAGAAAGCUAUUGCCAACAAACGCGUGCUUUGUCUCCACUCGGCCCCAACCUUACCAAUGGGCCCUACUCCUGUGACCACCUCACUUCGGGGUUCGGGCACCCUCUUACACACAUGACCUCACCGUAAAUCAAACGCGUGGGUUGGGCAAGUGUUAGGGCUGUAUAAUGGUCGCAUACAAAUACAGAUGCUUCAUGAUAAAAAGUAGUUUGAGGGAUUUAUAUUAAUUUUUCUCUUCAAUGUGAUCUACUAUUUGUGGGUCCUAUCAAAGAAUAUAAAAUACACUCAUGCUAUACAUGCAUCCCUACUUUCCACUUCAAUUUUUUCAAUUUUAUGCACCGGAUCAUACUUUUUCUCUUCAAGCACCCGCCUCGUGCAGAGUAUCCCACUUCCCUAUCUGAACCUACUUUUUCUUAUAUCUGAUCCUACAUGGCAUGCGAGGCAUCGCCCUGGCGCUAUGCAUUGGUCAUGCCCUUAUGGAGUACUAGUACGACCGCGGUGGGAAGGAGGGUUGGGAGGUCUCGAUAACGAGACAAGCGGGUCGCAUUUUAAGUACGUCUUGACUGCUUGUUCGCCAGCUCGCAUUGCGCAUCGGCGGGCGUUGCAGGGUAGCUGGUUCAAGACGGUGGUUGGUGGGAGCGUUUUCGUUUCAUAGGUGGGCAUGGGUCCAUGGUGCCAGUAAUACAAAUGGUGUUUUUUUCGAAAAUAUCAUAUUUACUGUAUCUAUUAUAAAGAUUCACUAGAAGUACAAAGUACCUCAAACAUAAUAAAAACUACAUCGAGGUCAUUGUCGCCGCCAGAACAAGCCGCCGACGCGCCGCUAUCGCCACUCACAUAUCGGAGCCCGACUGACCUUGUCGAUGACAACCGGGAAGUCUUCGUGCACAUGCCCCUAAGAACCAGAGUUCGGGAGCCGCAGUCGUCACCAUUGAAUCCUUAAAUUGAUCUGAAGAACCUGACAUCAAAUCUCGCCACUUCGUACGCACGACGAGAAACCUAACCUCGUCGCUCCGAGGAGCUGGUAGGAAUCUAUGCCGGAGCUCCGCCCGGACGAAUGAACUUGAGGAGGAUCGGAGCCCGGAAGACUGUAUCGAGGAAGAAGCACCGCCAUCCGUCAGAGUUGCGAGGACCAAAACCCUUCCUAUCUAAGCCGAGGCACCAGGAAUACCCUCCCCGCCACCGGUCGCCGAAGCAACAAGCGGAGGGGAGGCGAAUCCACGAGCUCACUGGCGAAGAUCAAGGGAAGAAGGCUUCCCUAGUCGCCUUACGAUGCCAGCGGCGUUGUGCGCCUUCUUUCUCGAGCACGCAAAUUGGAAGAAUAUUUUAAGAGGAGGUAAUAGCACCACAAGGCCUAGAACUUGCACCAAAUGUGAUGUUUUAAUCCAAAACUUGUAAAACCUCACCCCCACCGUCCUAGAAUGUGCAGGGAAUGUGACAAUUUGGUCCAAAGCCAAUCAAGACAUGACAAGUGGCACCAUGCUGGCGAAGCCGGUCAAUAGUGCACUUUUGCGGAUAGCCCAUGCUAUAUUUUCUAUAAUCAAAACAGAGGUGAUGCGCCUAGAUCCCCAAAUCGCCUGGUCGGAAAGCAUUGAGGCCAGCCCCGGCCACGCGCAGCGAGACCCACCAGCCAUCAGCCCCGCGGCAGCGCGUGCGGCCGGCCACGCACACAGAUCUACUAUGUGUUUGGUUUGAGGGAUAGGCUAGGAUGGUUGGGGAUACCCACAACCACCUGGCUAGGGAUAGCCCUUUUUUUUGUUUGGUUGGGUGGGUGAGGUUAGCCUUUUUUUUGUUUGGUUCCAAGGAUGAAACAUGAUUAAAGAUAGCUAUUGCAAUGUUUAGUUUGAGUGAUGUGCUGCAAGGUGUACUCAUGGUGGCCUUCAAAUCUCCUGCAUGAGAAAAAAAUACCAACGAACAUAGAGCACCAACAGAUGAGUGAACUCUGUACAAUGUUUAGUUUUGUUUCAUCGGUGGCAGGAGAUAAAACAGCAGGUUGGCCGAAAAUACAUCAGCAGUAAUACAGCACGAACUCUGUACAUACAACAGCAGCAGUAAUACAGCACGAACUGUGUGCAUACAACAGCAACAAGGAGAUCCGGCUCCAUGCACGCACUCGCCGCCUCACCCUGAAUCGACGGCCGCGUGCGACUUCUCUAACCCCAAGCUGCCGCCCUCCUGGAGAUCCAGCCGCGCCGCCGCCCUCCUGGAGAUCCAGCCGCCUCAAACCCCGCCCUGUGUCGGCCGUGCGCACCCUCCGAAGUCCGAACGGCCGGCCGCCACACGCGAUUGAUGGAGAAAAGGAAGAGACAGUGCAUGAGUAGAACGAACUCACCUCUCGCAAUCGCAGGCCCCUGCUGAUGCGCCGGCGCCGGCGUCGUUGCCGCACACAGAAGAGAGAGGAGAGUAAUGGGGAAAAGUGCUUCGCGCUCUG
rnacentral:lncRNA from 1 species